AAAUAGACAAACCCUGAGUUUCCGUAUCCAACGUUUGACCGUCUGUUUUAUUUGAAAAAAUUAUGAAAGAAAUUAAAAAGACAAGUCACACAUAAAGUAUUAAUCAUGUUUUAUCAUCUAACAACAAUAAAAAUACUAAUUAUAAGAAAAUUUCAUAUAAGAAGGACAGUCAAACGUUGGACAUGGAAAUCUAAGGUUUGUCUUUUU
rfam:Oryza glaberrima chromosome 2 Oglab02_0295_14, whole genome shotgun sequence.